rnacentral:rRNA from 1 species
UACGUAGGUGGCGAGCGUUGUCCGGAUUUACUGGGCGUAAAGCGCGCGCAGGCGGACUGAUCAGUCUGGGGUGAAAUCUCACGGCUCAACUGUGAGCGGUCCCUGGAUACUGUCAGUCUUGAGAUGUCUAGAGGAGAGCGGAAUUCCCGGUGUAGUGGUGGAAUGCGUAGAUAUCGGGAAGAACACCAGUGGCGAAAGCGGCGACCUGGGCCAAUAUUGACGCUAAUGUGCGAAAGCGUGGGGAGCAAACAGG